rnacentral:tRNA from 1 species
GGCUUCGUAGUCGAGUGGUAAGAACACUAGCCUUUCACCCUGAAGUCCCGGGUUCGAUCCCCGGUCGAGGAACUA